UCCGUAUUGUGAACCUNCGGAAGGAUCAUUACUGAUUUGCUUAAUUGCACCACAUGUGUUUUUCUUUGAAACAAACUUGCUUUGGCGGUGGGCCCAGCCUGCCGCCAGAGGUCUAAACUUACAACCAAUUUUUUAUCAACUUGUCACACCAGAUUAUUACUAAUAGUCAAAACUUUCAACAACGGAUCUCUUGGUUCUCGCAUCGAUGAAGAACGCAGCGAAAUGCGAUACGUAAUAUGAAUUGCAGAUAUUCGUGAAUCAUCGAAUCUUUGAACGCACAUUGCGCCCUCUGGUAUUCCGGAGGGCAUGCCUGUUUGAGCGUCGUUUCUCCCUCAAACCGCUGGGUUUGGUGUUGAGCAAUACGACUUGGGUUUGCUUGAAAGACGGUAGUGGUAAGGCGGGAUCGCUUUGACAAUGGCUUAGGUCUAACCAAAAACAUUGCUUGCGGCGGUAACGUCCACCACGUAUAUCUUCAAACUUUGACCUCAAAUCAGGUAGGACUACCCGCUGAACUUAAGCAUAUCANAAUGCGGAGGAA
rnacentral:rRNA from 1 species